rnacentral:miRNA from 1 species
AUUCACUCAUGGGUGAAUUCAAAUCACCCAUGGGUGAAUUCCUUUCACGUAUGAGUGACUCAGACUCAACUAUAUGUGACCUAUAUUCACCCAUGGGUGAUUUGAAUUCACCCAUGAGUCACU